rnacentral:rRNA from 1 species
AUGACAGGUUCCGAAGAUAGAAGUUCUUGGACGACGGACACAUCUUCACCAUCACGAGAGUUGGGACAACACACACAAGCACAUGGUCAAGUUAACCUUUUACCGUCAUUUGAGGGUAGAUUUAAUCCUGCUAUUUAUCUAGCUUCGGAGCUUGAAGUAGAACAAGUUUUUAGUCACCAUAACUUUGCUGAACUUGAGCGAGUACGAGCUGCCACUAGAGCAUUUACUAGUUUUGCUUCUGUUUGGUGGAGUGUGCAUUGUAAGAAAAACAUUGAUAACCAACCCACAACAUGGAAAGAUUUGAAAUAUGUAAUGAGAAAACAUUUUUUCCCUCCUUACUAUCGUCGUGAAUUGCUUCGCAAAUUUCAACAAUUUAAACAAGGCAACAACACUGUUCAUGCUUACUACCAAGAGUUCAAAUCUUAUAUGCAUCAUUGUGACAUAGAAGAAUCUAAGGAUGAUACAAUGAAUAGAUUUUUGGGUGGUUUGAACCAUGAUAUUCAGGCAAGAUUUCAGUAUAUUCCUCGUUGCAUUACUGGUAUGUAUGUUCAUGCUUGUACCUUUGAGAGACAGAUACAGGAGGAUGCAUUGGGUGACUACAACAACUACUAUUUCAGUUCAUGCUCACCAGCGCCGGUUGGUUCCUCCAUCGUUGCACCUACUAGAGCAGCCCCACCUCAGAUUGUGAGUGUGACAUCAUCUCAAGUGUAUGGUACAUUGUCAUUGUCGAUACCUAGAUCAGCUACGUCUUUGCGACAAGGUAACAAUAUAACUAUUGAUGAUAUCACUUCACAUAAGAAUGAUGCAUGCAUAGUUAACUUGAAUGCAUCAUGUGUUGAGUUACCUGUUGAUUUGAGCACACCACCUAUUUUAGAGAAUCUUGUUACUGUCAUGAAUGCGCCAUGUGAUCAAACAACUGAAAUACCAAUAAUUUUGAGCGCACCCAUUUAA